rnacentral:lncRNA from 1 species
AUUGCCCUGUACAGUACAUAAACUGCCACGGAAGGACUGCCCUUGUUUGUUUCCCUAUCAUCUCCAUAGGUUUCCUGUGAAUGAAGAUCGUCGUCGUGUUUGGGUGUCACGUGUUAAUCGGAAGGAUUUUCACCCAUCUGAUAGCAGUGUGAUAUGCUCAAUUCAUUUUUUGGAUGGCCAUCCAAGCAAACAAAAUCCUGAUCCAGUCUUAAAUUUGGGAUAUCAAAGAAAGGUGACACAAGGAAGAAGGACCAUUUUCCGAUACCCUCUCUCUGAUGUUUCUCGGACCCCAAGGAGCAAUCAACUGACUGAGGAGUGCCAUGCUGAAGCUGAACUGACAGAUCAACCUGUAUCUCAAGCUGAAGAGAAGGAAAAGGAGAAUGAUGACUCCAGACCAAGUGAUUGUGACUGUUGUAAACAGAAGUCUUGUUUUUGUCUUCACAGACCUAUGAUAAAAGUUCCAAACAGAACUGUAGGAGUACAGGUUCAUUUUAACAAGUCAGUAGAUCACCAUUAUGCAACCCAGCACUACACGACCAAAACAAAGAAUGUCUCUGUUCAGGUUAAUUUUCCUGCCUUUUCUGCAGACAGUAUUAAGACUGACACUGAUUCUGUGUUUUACACUGGACUUACUCUACAAGUGUUUCUGUCAAUAAUAACUUAUCUUACAUCUGUACUGCGGUCAAACAUUAAGAUGCCACUCUCAGAUCAAACACUACUCACACUUAUGAGACUUAGGCUUGGAAUUCAGUUUCAUGAUCUCGGGAGAAGAUUUUCAAUUUCCACGCAAUUAGCAAGUAAAAUUUUUGGAAUUUGUAUCUCAAUUUUAGCCAGAAAGCUAAAGGAUUGCAUUGUUUGGCUCCCAAGAGAUGUUAUUCGAUCUGCAAUGCCAAUG